CGGACGGGUGGGUAAUGUCUGGGAAACUGCCCGAUGGAGGGGGAUAACUACUGGAAACGGUAGCUAAUACCGCAUAACGUCGCAAGACCAAAGAGGGGGACCUUGGGCCUCUUGCCAUCGGAUGUGCCCAGAUGGGAUUAGCUAGUAGGUGGGGUAACGGCUCACCUAGGCGACGAUCCCUAGCUGGUCUGAGAGGAUGACCAGCCACACUGGAACUGAGACACGGUCCAG
rnacentral:rRNA from 1 species